ensembl:lncRNA
AUUAGAGAAUGAAAAAUUGAAACAAAGUAUAAAAGAAAUGGAAUUAACAAAUGAAAAUUUACAAAAACUUGCAAAUACGUAUGAAAAAAAAUAUAAUAAAAUAAUUGAAAAGAAUAAUGCUAUGUUUUCUAUAACACAUGAAUUUUUAAACCAAAAAAAAUGUAAAAUUUGUAUACUCAGAAAGAAAGAAGAAAUAAAAAAUAUAUUUGAAGAAUGCAAAAUAAAUAAUUAUAAUGAAAAAUCAUUAAACAAAUUAAACUCUUUUUCAGUUUUAUAUACAUACAAAAUAGUAUAUAAUGACAAUAAUAAUAAUAAUAAUAAUAAUGAAGCUGUUAAUAAUGUAUCUUAUGCGAGCAAAUUGGUAGAAACAACAUUAGACGACAAUAACACAUAUAUAGAAAUAAAAAAAAGUGAUUAUAAGAAAUUAAAUUAUUUAUUAAAUAAAGCCCAAAUGAAACUUGCUACUUUUGGUCGUCAUAUAUCUAUAGCUACUAAUAGUAUGCACUCUGACAUGUUCAAAGAUAGUAUGUAUAACAAUUCACAUCAUCGUAAGGAAGACCCAUUUAAGGAUUUUAAAAAUUAUAACGAAUUUGAAAAACAGUUUUUAAGUGACAAAAAUUCCUUAUUAAAAAAUAAUAAAGUUAUAUAUAAAAAGCAUUAUGUACAGGAUGGUGAUUGGUCUAUAUUAUUUAAAGAAAAAGAGCAUUUAGAAAGUACGUUAUGUGAAAAACUUGAAUUCAUUAAAAAUGCAGAAAACCAAAUAAAAGAAACACAAUUAGAAUUACAAAAACAUAAACAAAUUAUAUUUAAAUUGAUUUUGGAAAAACAGACAUUAACCAAAGUUAUAUCAACAAUACCAAAUGUAUUGUCAAAUAUACAAAUUGAAAAAAAUGGAACAAAUUACUCAGUUGAAGGUUAUAUUAGGUCAACAAUUGAGCAGUUUGUUGGUAGCUCAUUAAAUGAGCGUUCUGACAUAUUAGUGGAGUUAAACAAUGUGCUAAAUAACGGCAGUAGUGCUAAGCAUCAUAACAAUGUCUUAUAUAAUAGCAAUUUUGCUUAUAACAACUUCGAUAAUAACCAAUUAGUCGAAGAAAAAAUGUUUUGCUCCAACACAACAUUAGAUUGUGAUAAAAUUAAUUUAUUCAAUACUAUCAGAAAUAUGAACAAUAGUAGUAACUCCAAUGGAGUUGGUAUAUGUAUAUAUUGUGGUAUGCCUCAAAAUAUUACAUUACCAAACUUCAAAAUGUCAGAUUCUUAUUCAGGGUCUGUUGCACCUGAACAUAAAUAUGAACAAACGAUUAUGUAUGAAACUUUAGUGAAAGCUCUUUUAUUUAUAGAGAAUAAACAAAUGGAUUACUUUAAAAAAAGUGAACUACUUAAUUUUUUGGAUAAUUAUUUUACUGUUGUUGAUAUGUUUAAUAAAAUAUAUGAUUAUAACAAGAAUUUUAAUUUUGAUAGUUUGUUAGAAAAAGAGGAAUAUCGUCACAUAUUAAAGAAGAUUAAUGAAUAUGUCACAAGUAGUAAUAGUGGUAACAACAAUGGUGGUAGUAACAAUGGUGGUAGUAACAAUGGUGGUAGUAACAAUGGUGGUAGUAACAGUAGUGGUAACAACAAUAGUGGUAACAACAAUAGUGGUAGAAACAAUAGUGGUAGAAACAAUAGUCUAACGUUUUCAAAUAAAAAAAUAUUAUUACAAGAACUCGAACAAAUAAAAAAAAACUAUGAUGACAAAGAGUUAUACAAAUAUAUUAAAGAAACGAAUGUACUGGAAAAAUAUAAAACAUUUUAUCAUUGCCACUUUGUUAAUAUUAAUAACAUUUUUAAUACAGUAAUUAGUACGAUUAUAUAUAAUGUUGAAGAUAAGUACAAAAUCUUAUAUGAACGAUAUUUUAAUUUAUUUAAUUUAAAUUUUAGCAACAUUGAAGCAUCUUUUGAUUUGUUACUGAAGAGGUUUCAUCAAUUGUGUCGUUUAUUGCAAAAAUAUGAACAUGUGAUAAAAGAAUAUGAAAAAAAUAUGUCGAUUUUGAAUAAUAACGACGCUGAAGUACAUAAAGAAAACAAAAAAUUGGAAUAUGAUAUAGAAUUAAUUCGUAAAGAAAAAGAACACUUAAAACAAGUUUUGUUAAUGUUUGAAACAAAUGUAAAAAAAAUGAAUGGAAAUUAUUCACAAGCAGAAAAAGAACUAAACGAGUUGAAAAAUAAAUUCGUACAUAUAAAUGAAAAAUAUGAACAUUUAAAAAAUGAAAAAAGUAUACUAGAACAAGAUAUACUUAAAAAAGAAAAAACUAAUGAACAACUGAAUGAAAAAAAUAAUGAUAUGUUGAUGAGUUACCAAAAAGAUAUUAUGUAUUUACAAACAUUAUUACAAGAAACAAAAGAUAGUAAUAUAUAUUUUAAACAAAAAGUAGAACAUAUUUUAAACCUUAAUGAAAAAUUAAAAUAUGAUUAUGACUUACGAGUUAAUAGCCUUAAUAAUUUAUGGAUGGAAGAAAAAGAAAAUAAUAAAAAAACGAGUAUAGAUAUAAAAAAUAUGAAACAUGAAAAAACGUUACUCAUUAAUAAAAUUAAUAAUUUAGAAAAUAAAAAUAAAUUAAUUCGAGCUGAAUUAAACGAAAGAAUGAAACAGUUGAAUAUGUUUAAAAGACAAAUGGCAUUGAAUUCUUUUAAUGCGUAUGUUCCAGGUAAUUUUUUUUUCAGUUCUAAUAUUUCUAGUAACUAUAGCAACAUCAACACUGGCAUCAAAAGUAACGUCAGUAAUAAUGCCGACGUGAAUGCCGACAUGAAUGUUGACACCAAACUUAACAAUAGUAAUAAAAAAACAUCUUUCUUACAGAAACAAUUUCUUUUAUUAAAUAACAACAUAGGAUGUAGCAAUUUAAACGAAGGUAAACAAGCUGUAAGUACUACAAAUACCCAUCAUAAUAGUAAAAACGAAUCAGAAAAUACACUCAACUAUAAUCCUAUUAAUUUUUCUAAACUAACUCAACAAUAUUUACUACCAAAUUAUGACAACAAAAUAAACUAUACGUUUAACUACGAUGGAGAAUAUAAUCAUAGAGAAGAGUUCGAACAACGUAUAAGAACAUUACAAGAUACUAUAUCAGAUUAUAGAAUUGAUAUUUUAAAACUAAAAGGAGAAAAAGAUAUUUUGAUAACUUCUGUAGAAACAUGGAAAAGCUUUAGUAAAGAUAGUAAAGUUGAAAUUAAUAAAUUAAAACAGUUAUGUAAUGAACAACUAGAAAAACAUAAAGAAUUUUUAUUAAUUAACAAAUCAAACG